rnacentral:lncRNA from 1 species
CCACUAUAUGAUUGACUAGUCAAAAAUACAAGUACUCAGGGAGAUGCAUAUAUAAAAGAAGCGGUAUAUUGAUAAAGAAAGUUCUUUUUUCAAAAUCAAAAGUGCGAUUAGGUUCAAAAAAUAAAAGAUUUUGAACCAUCUUGUUAUCAUAUAACAUAGACCAAUUAAAUGAACUGGAAAAAAAAAGAUAGGGUAGAGAAUCUGUUGAUAAGUUUAGCUAUUUUCGAGGUAUCUAUUCUUAGUAGGAUACCUUGUUUUGACUGUAUUGCACUAUAUAUCAUUUGAUAACCCACAAAAUUCUUCUAACUUGGUUCAAAUAAAAUUUCAAAUGGAGAAAAUCCAAAGAUAUUUAGCCCAAGAUGCCAAAAUCAUCAGUUAUGGCUUUUAGCCACUGCACUUAUUAGAAAAACGUUCAAUAAUUAUUUUCG